rnacentral:rRNA from 1 species
GGGCUUCUAAAGGGCCGCGGUAUUAUGACCGUGCAAAGGUAGCAUAAUCACUAGUCUUUUAAUUGGGGGCUUGUAUGAAUGGCUGGACGAGAGGUAAGCUGUCUUUACUGAGUAAAUUGAAUUUAACUUUUAAGUGAAAAGGCUUAAAUAAUCUAGGGGGACGAUAAGACCCUAUAAAGUUUUACAUUAAGGUUUUAAGGUAUGAAUUAAAUAUUUAAAGUUAAUUAGGAGCGAAGUGUUUCGUUGGGGCGACAAGAAUAUAAUAAAUAUAACUGUUUUAUGAACAAUGAUCAGGGGUACUUGAAUUGAAGACUUUUUAUAAAGGUGUUAGAGUAAGUUACUUUAGGGAUAACAGCGUAAUUUUUUUUGAGAGUUCUAAUCGACAAAAGAGUUUGCGACCUCGAUGUUGAAUUAAAGAUUCUUUAUAGUGCAGGAGCUAUGGGAGAAAGUCUGUUCGACUUUUAAAUCUUUACAUGAUUUGAGUUCAAACCGGCGUGAGC